rnacentral:rRNA from 1 species
CAGUAGCCACGGGAAUACAGAGGGUGCGAGCGUUAAUCGGAUUUACUGGGCGUAAAGCGUGCGUAGGCGGCUUUUUAAGUCGGAUGUGAAAUCCCUGAUCUUAACUUAGGAAUUGCAUUCGAUACUGGGAAGCUAGAGUAUGGGAGAGGAUGGUAGAAUUCCAGGUGUAGCGGUGAAAUGCGUAGAGAUCUGGAGGAAUACCGAUGGCGAAGGCAGCCAUCUGGCCUAAUACUGACGCUGAGGUACGAAAGCAUGGGGAGCAAACAGGAUUAGAUACCCGUGUAGUCCCUGUCUCUUAUAC